rnacentral:rRNA from 1 species
UACGUAGGAUGCAAGCGUUGUCCGGAAUUAUUGGGCGUAAAGAGCGCGCAGGCGGUAUGACAAGUCAGAUGUGAAAGAGGCCGGCUUAACCGGCAAGGGUCAUUUGAAACUGUCAGACUAGAGUGCAGCAGAGGAUAGUGGAAUUCCCGGUGUAGUGGUGAAAUGCGUAGAUAUCGGGAGGAACACCAGUGGCGAAGGCGACUAUCUGGGCUGCAACUGGCGCUGAGGCGCGAAGGCUAGGGUAGCAAACAGG